rnacentral:rRNA from 1 species
UACGUAGGGUGCAAGCGUUGUCCGGAAUUAUUGGGCGUAAAGAGCUCGUAGGCGGCUUGUCACGUCGACUGUGAAAACCCGGGGCUCAACUCCGGGCCUGCAGUCGAUACGGGCUGGCUUGAGUGCGGUAGGGGAGACUGGAAUUCCUGGUGUAGCGGUGAAAUGCGCAGAUAUCAGGAGGAACACCGGUGGCGAAGGCGGCUCACUGGCCCGGUACUGACGCUGAGGUGCGAAAGCGUGGGGAGCAAACAGG